UGCCAUCCGCCGCGGUAAUACGGAGGGUGCAAGCGUUGUUCGGAAUUAUUGGGCGUAAAGCGCGUGUAGGCGGUUCGUUAAGUCUGAUGUGAAAGCCCGGGGCUCAACCCCGGAAGUGCAUUGGAAACUGGCGAACUUGAGUACGGGAGAGGAAAGUGGAAUUCCGAGUGUAGGGGUGAAAUCCGUAGAUAUUCGGAGGAACAUCAGUGGCGAAAGCGGCUUCCUGGCCCGAUAUUGACGCUCAUGUCCGAAAGCGUGGGUAGCAAACAGGAUUAGAUA
rnacentral:rRNA from 1 species